rnacentral:rRNA from 1 species
UACAGAGGUCUCAAGCGUUGUUCGGAUUCAUUGGGCGUAAAGGGUGCGUAGGCGGCGCGGUAAGUCGGGUGUGAAAUCUCGGAGCUUAACUCCGAAACUGCAUUCGAUACUGCCGUGCUUGAGGACUGGAGAGGAGACUGGAAUUUACGGUGUAGCGGUGAAAUGCGUAGAUAUCGGAAGGAACACCAGUGGCGAAGGCGGCUCACUGGCCCGAUACUGACGCUGAGGCACGAAAGCGUGGGGAGCAAACAGG